rnacentral:lncRNA from 1 species
GGUUUGAGACCCGACCUGUUCAGGUUCGUUAGGGCGCAGAGGUCGAGGACUUUGGACGCGUCCAUUGAGCAGGCACUAUGGAAGGAGAGAGGAGAGGUGUCACUGCGAGAGAGGGCUCAGGGGCCGGGACAGAGUCAGGACAGGAAGCGCCCAGCUCCAGACGACGGAGGCCAGUCGAGUAGCAGGCGUCCGCCGAGACCUCCACGAUCGCGUUCUCAGGGUCGUGGGUUCUCGGGACGUCAGCGAUCCAGAGACUCCCGUCAGAGAGGACAGCCUGAGAGGGCGCCGCAGUGUGUGAUCUGCGGAGGACCACACUGGCCCAGACAGUGUGAGCAGAGGGAGGGCCGGUGCUACGGAUGUGGUCAGCCGGGACACAUGAGGGCAGCUUGUCCCAGAGCAGCAUCUCCAGCACCAUCAUCUGCUUCAGCUCCACCAGCACCUCAGCAGACUUACAGAGCAGCACCGAGUUACCGCCAGGAGGAUAGGUCGUCCAUGCCGCGACAGGGUGAGCGUCGACAGCAGGCUCCGAGUGGUAGAGUCUAUGCAGCUCAGGUGGAGGACUCUACAGCAGCCGACCGAGUGGUGGCAGGUAUCACUUUGAUUUCUGGCAUUAGAGUUCGCACUCUUUUUGAUACUGGUGCAUCGCAUUCCUUUGUUAGCCGAGCAUUUGCAUUGUUGCAUGGUCUAGAGUUAGGGGCAUUGUCACAGGCACGAGAGGUGCAGAUCCCGGACCAUGUUUUACAGGUUGCGGAGUGUUGUUGGUCGUGUCCGGUGCAGUUGGACUCGUGGGUCAUGCCCGCAGACCUGUUGGUGUUAGGGCAGCUGCAGGACUUCGACGUCGUGCUCGGUAUGGAUUGGCUGGCGCGGUACUACGCUACGAUCGACUGUGGAGCGAGGACGGUGAUGUUCCGCGAGCCAGGCCAGAAGGAGUUCACUUUCAGAGGCUGCAGGAGCACGCUAUUUGCCACCUGGAUAUCUUCGGCGAGGGCUCGACAGAUGCUGAGUAGCGGGUGUAUCGCUUUCCUAGUGACUGUUGUGGAGGUACCUACGGCGGCGCCGGGACUUGAGGACAUCCUAGUAGUCCGCGAGUUUCCGGAUGUAUUUCCCCCUGAGUUGACGACGUUGCCGCCGGAGAGGGAGAUUGAGUUUGUGAUUGAUGUAGUUCCUGGAACUGCACCAAUCUCAAAGGUACCUUAUCGGAUGGCACCGGCGGAGCUGAGAGAGCUAAAGGCGCAGCUUCAGGAUCUGAUGGAUAGAGGGGGUGCCAGUGUCGAUUAGUGGGUGACCGAUGUCGUGUUGGGCGGUACCCACUGAGGACUACUUGUUUUUACAGUAGUUCUCACGCCCAGUUGUUACUUAUGUUUUGCAGAGCCACAGGUGCCGGCUGCUGCAUCUUCCGCCGACCAGGAUCGAGGCAAGGGCGUUGUGAGCUAGAGCCCUACCCGACAGUCAGAGCUAGAGGCUUUCCCCU